rnacentral:rRNA from 1 species
GACGAACGCUGGCGGCGUGCUUAACACAUGCAAGUCGAGCGAGAACGCACCUUCGGGUGUUAGUAAAGCGGCGAACGGGUGAGUAACACGUGGGUAACCUGCCCUGGAGACCGGGACAACCAUUCGAAAGGAUGGCUAAUACCGGAUAACCUGCGCAAGCAUAUGUUUGCGUAGCAAAUGGUAGCUUCGGCUUCCGCUCCUUGAUGGACCCGCGGCCCAUUAGCUUGUUGGUAGGGUAACGGCUACCAAGGCGACGAUGGGUAGCCGGCCUGAGAGGGUGAUCGGCCACACUGGGACUGAGACACGGCCCAGACUCCUACGGGAGGCAGCAGUGGGGAAUCUUGCGCAAUGGGCGAAAGCCUGACGCAGCAACGCCGCGUGGGGGAAGAAGGCCUUCGGGUUGUAAACCCCUGUCAGGAGGGACGAAGCCACCUGCGUUAAUAGCGUAAGGGGUGACGGUACCUCCAGAGGAAGCCCCGGCUAACUACGUG